rnacentral:rRNA from 1 species
UACGGGGGGGGCAAGCGUUGUUCGGAAUUACUGGGCGUAAAGGGCGUGUAGGUGGCCAACUAAGUCCGACGUGAAAUCCCCAGGCUUAACCUGGGAACUGCGUCGGAUACUGGAUGGCUUGAGUUCGGUAGAGGAGUAUGGAAUUCCCGGUGUAGCGGUGAAAUGCGCAGAUAUCGGGAAGAACACCAGCGGCGAAGGCGGCACUCUGGGCCGGAACUGACGCUGAGGAGCGAAAGCGUGGGUAGCAAACAGG